CUGUUCCUGUGGGGCCAGAAAUAAGUAAAUACAUGAAAUAAAGUGAUGUGCAAACCUGAAACCAGCUUUCUGGAGGAAGAAACAUCUUGUUGGGGUCAUCUGAUCCCAGCAGUCUUUCCUGCCCAAGUGCAGGGGGGCUGGACCCAGUGACCUGUAAGGUUUCUUGCAGCCCCUAACAACUAUGAAGGCUGAGCUGUUCACCUCUGAUCAAUGUUAGCUUUGACCGUGUGUGUGGAUAUGUCCUAUUCACAGCUGUCGCUAUAGUGGGUCUGCCCGUGUACACUCGGGAUGUACAUCAGAGCAGCUGAGUUGAUGAUUGGACAACUUUAGGCAAGUUUUAAGCCUGAGUUUUAAGUAUUUUCAGCAGGCUCAUCUGUAUUUGUCACACUCUUUGUUUUCAGUCCCAAAAGCUUGUGUUGCCUUUUGGGCAAUUUGUGACUGUUUUAGAGAGUUCUUUUAACCACUGCAUGGGCCUAAAACUGACAGGAGGCAAGCAUAGUAAACUAGUUAAUCCGGCUGUGUGAUAAUUUGCCACCAUGGUUUAAUUUGCUGCUGUUCAGAUUCCAAAUCCCCUUCAGUCAUCCUCCCCCCAACCCUGUUAUCAGCUCCUGGUAAUUGGUCGCUAUUGGAUAAUUUGCCACUAUUUGCAUUCCUAGAGCUUAGUGUAGGAAAUCUAUAGGGAGGUUACGCUCCAAGUUCUUGUUUGAGCAGGAAUCAAGGGGGGAGGAGGAGGAGAAGAAUCUCUUCUAAGUUGAUUUUACCAAGCCCUGUUCUUUAAAGCUAUGAAUGGAAAUAGAAAUCUAAAAUGAGUAGUUGGUGUAAGGCCAUAAGGUGACAUGGAUAAAAAUAACUUAAACCUAUCGCCCAGGCCACACAGCAUCUGCUUCCUUCAUGCAUGCAUAUGGGUACAUACCAAAUGGUUUUCAGCAUGGAGCACUGAGAGGGUAGGGAAAAUCCAAGUCUACUUUUAGUAGUUGCUAACUUCCUUGGUUUGCUGAAGCCUAGAAAGUGAAGGGUGUAGAGGGCAGAGAGGCAGCGAUAAAUGAAUUCUGGAACAUUUUUUCCCAAUGUACUUUGCAGAUACGUAAUUGCUUUCUUCUCUCCCUAGAAAAUGGAGGGGAGGGGUGGGCAAGACAUUUAACUUUUGGCAUGUUUCUUACAGUGUCUAUAAAUACAGUUAUACAGUCUCUUCCAGUUAUAAAUAACCUGUGUCAAAGGAGGCAGCCCAGCGUCAGAGUUGCUGCUGCAGGAAGGUCUGGACUGCUGGAGAUGUACGCGAGUCCUUUCCUGCUGAUGAGGUAUCAUACCCAGACUCUGAUUAUCAACAGCUGUUAAGAGAAGCAGCAAACAAUACUGAAACUACAACACUGUUAUAUGCGUUACUAAUAUAUCCUCCUCUGGAAUUCUGAAUUCAAGUUUGGAUUAAAAAGUAUGUUAUAGAAAUGGAUUAAAGGAAGAAAGACUUGCCGUAGGAAGAGACAUCAAAGUGUUGAACUAUUAUGUUUAGAGAGAUGAAUUUUGGGAAGCAAAAGAGGCGCAGAGAGGCCAGCCGUGGACUUUUGUCCACUUUGUCAAAUCGCAAGA